UACGAGAGGCCCAAACGUUAUUCGGAUUUACUGGGCUUAAAGAGUUCGUAGGCCGCGCGGAAAGUAGGGUGUGAAAGCCCUCGGCUCAACCGAGGAACUGCGCUCUAAACUACCGUGCUUGAGGAACCUAGAGGUGAGCAGAACUGAUGGUGGAGCGGUGAAAUGCGUUGAUAUCAUCAGGAAUACCGGAGGCGAAGGCGGCUCACUGGGUCUCUUCUGACGCUGAGGAACGAAAGCUAGGGGAGCAAACGGG
rnacentral:rRNA from 1 species